GCUGCAGAAGAGGCAGGGCGGAGAGGAGGGGAAAGAAGCAUCUGAACGGCUAAAUUGUGCCAGCAGCGCUGAGAGCGAGAGUCGCGCCCGUCGCUCCAGGAGCCAGGCGACGGACGGUCCCUUCCCUGCCAAACGCGGACAAGCGCGUGCCGUGGUUUAGCCCCAGCUGGCAACUCUGCACCAGGGAGCUGCUUGCUCGCUCCACCCUCAGUGGGCUGGGGGAGAGAGCUGGAAGGGUAAAAGUGAGAAAAAUCAUGGGCUGAGAUCAAGACUGUUUAAUAGAGACCGUGCUGAGGACGUGGUUGUCUGUCCUUCCCCCGGGGAUGCCGUUGACUGCGGCCGUCUCAGGCUUGCGUGGCUUCUCUCUGCCCGGCGUUGCCAUCCUCGCAGCGCGGGGGCGAAAAGGGACACACAGAGCCCUUCCCGGCUGUGGACAGGAGCUGCCUCGGCUGAAGCUGGAGACGCCAACGAAAGGUGGAGGACGGCCUAGAGUCUGGAGCUGCAGAAGAGGCAGGGCGGAGAGGAGGGGAAAGAAGCAUCUGAACGGCUAAAUUGUGCCAGCAGCGCUGAGAGCGAGAGUCGCGAGACCGUGCUGAGGACGUGGUUGUCUGUCCUUCCCCCGGGGAUGCCGUUGACUGCGGCCGUCUCAGGCUUGCGUGGCUUCUCUCUGCCCGGCGUUGCCAUCCUCGCAGCGCGGGGGCGAAAAGGGACACACAGAGCCCUUCCCGGCUGUGGACAGGAGCUGCCUCGGCUGAAGCUGGAGACGCCAACGAAAGGUGGAGGACGGCCUAGAGUCUGGAGCUGCAGAAGAGGCAGGGCGGAGAGGAGGGGAAAGAAGCAUCUGAACGGCUAAAUUGUGCCAGCAGCGCUGAGAGCGAGAGUCGCGAGACCGUGCUGAGGACGUGGUUGUCUGUCCUUCCCCCGGGGAUGCCGUUGACUGCAGCCGUCUCAGGCUCGCGUGGCUUCUCUCUGCCCGGCGUUGCCAUCCUCGCAGCGCGGGGGCGAAAAGGGACACACAGAGCCCUUCCUGGCUGUGGACAGGAGCUGCCUCGGCUGAAGCUGGAGACGCCAACGAAAGGUAAAGCAGAAGAAACUGAAGGCGCUCUGGCUGCCAGCUGCCUUCCUGCCG